rnacentral:lncRNA from 1 species
UAGCAUAUAAAGAGGAUGAAUGUUAUUAUUAUUGAUAGUGAGUUUACACAUAUAUAUACAGACACUUAAGUAACCUAGAGAUAACUAAUUACAUUAAGACCCACAUAUCUAUACAUCCUUAUACACCCCCGCAAGAUGGAGGGACUCUUGUGACACCAAUCUUGUAACAUGCUGUAAGAAACUGCUGUCUAGAGAGAGGCUUAGUGAGUGCAUCUGCUAACUGGUUCUUCGUCGAGACAUGAGAGACCCGUAACGUACCAUCUUGAAUCUGAUUUCUAGUGAAGUGAUAGUUAAGAGCAAUAUGCUUCAUACGAGAGUGGAAUACCGGGUUUGCACAAAGAUAAGUAACCCCAAUGUUAUCACAAUAUAUAAUUGGUGGAGAGCGGAGAGUGAGACCCAUCUCGUUAAGUAGAGAACAAAGCCAGCGGAGUUCAGAGGCGGUGUUCGCAACAGCCCUAUACUCAGCUUCGGUGGAAGAACGAGUAACACCACGUUGUUUCUUAGAGCUCCAAGAAAUGGGACUAUGACCAAGAUAGAUGACAUAAGCAUUAGUUGAGACAUAGUCAUCAACAUCGCCAGCCCAAUCCGCAUCUGAAAAACCAUGUAGUGCCAGUGGUGAUGAGGCUCGAAGAAAAAUACCGUGUGUUGGAGUGCCCGCAAGAUACCGAAGAACACGUUUUGCAGCUUGCCAAUGAUCUGUGGUAGGUUUAUGCAUGAACUGCGACAAGCGGUUAACUGCAUAAGAAAUAUCCGGUCUAGUGAACGCAAGGUAUUGAAGACUGCCAACUACAGACCUAUAUUGAGAAGGAUCAUCGAGCAAAGAACCACUAUGUAACGACAGUUUAGGAGAAGGAGCCAACGGUGUCGCAACGGGUUUGGCUUCGUGCAUAUUGCUCUUUGUGAGAAGAUCGAGAAUAUACUUGCGUUGCAUCAAGUGAAGACCAGCUUUGGUUCGGGUCGCCUCUAUACCAAGAAAAUAAUGGAGAUCCGUGGGAUCUUUGAUGGAGAAGCGUUCACCAAAGGAAGUAAGCGUUUGUGUAACAAGGGCUGAAUUAUUUCCUGUGACAAGAAUAUCAUCAACGUAGACCAAGACAUAGACAAACGAGGUGCCAUUGCGCUUAAUGAACAAGGAUGUAUCAGCAAGAGAAUUGAUAAAACCCGUUUGGAGUAGAUGUUGCUUAAGUGACAAGUACCAAGCCCGGGGAGCUUGCUUCAAGCCGUAGAUCGGCUUCCGCAAACGACAUACAUGACUAGGCCUAUCGGGAUCAACAAAACCUUGCGGCUGCACCAUGUACACCUCUUCAGUUAAUUCACCUUGUAGGAAAGCAUUAUUAACGUCAAGUUGUUUGAUCGGCCAGGAUUGAGCCACCGCAACAUCAAGAACCAGCCUAAUUGUUGUUGUCUUGAUAACGGGACUAAACGUUUCAGCAUAAUCAACUCCAUGACGUUGAUGGAAGCCUUUAGCCACGAGCCUUGAUUUGUACCGAUUCAGCUGUCCAUUGGGAUGAUAUUUUGUCGUAUACACCCAUUUGGAACCGAUGACAUUUUGAGACGGAUGAGGAGGAACCAAGUCCCAUGUGUGAUUGCCUAGUUGAGCGUCAUAUUCAGCAGACAUAGACUUCCGCCAACGCUCAUCUUUUAAAGCUUGAGAGACUGUUCUAGGCUCCUUGGAACUGUUUGGACCUGCAACAUGAAGAUUAACUUUUUGUUUUGGUUUACGGAUAUUAUUUUUGGCUCUAGUUGUCAUUUUGUGGACAUUUUGAGGUGGUGCUUCAGGGACAGGAUUUUGUGGUUGCUGGGGCUGAGGUAUUUGAUGAUUUUCCGACGAAGAACGUCGAGGAGAGGGAAGAGCAGAGGUUGAAGGAAGAGGGUGAGGCUGAACCGUAGGUCGCGGUUUAUUUUGGACUUGAGCAGUGGGCUCAUUAGACACAAUGUUCUGGGCCUUGGUUUGAGGCCCAUUUUGGGGAGCAGUGGGCUCAGAAAAAUGAGAUGGAGAAGAAGAAGAGGAAGCGUGAGAGUUUAGAGGCGAUACCUGCGUUGACGGGGAGGAUGGCAGUGGAGACGUAGCAUCACGGUGAAGGUCUGAGCUGGGGGUUCCACUCGACGGUUGCACAGACGGUGGUGGCAGAGAGAUCGUAGUGACGAGCCGUGACACAGCUGGUGGUGUAUCAUCACAAGAAACAAUCGAAGCUUUCUUGUUGGUGCUAAACGGGAAGAUCGAUUCAUCAAAUUGAACAUGUCUCGAUGUAUAGACACGACCAGUCGCAACAUGAAGACAAUGAUAGGCACUCUGUGUGAGAGAGUAUCCAAGAAACACACACGGCUGAGAACGACUUUGAAGCUUAUGAGUUGUAUACGGCCUUAACCACGGAAAGCAGAGACAACCAAAAAUCUUGAGCUUGUGGAUGUUUGGUUGAACUUGAAACAGCUUGAAAAAUGGAGAUUGUUGACUAAGGACUGGUGUCGACAAGCGAUUGAUGAGGUAGACCGCUGUUGUGAAAGCAUAAGGCCAAUAGGAGGUUGGAAUCGACGCCGUAGAGAGAAGAGUAAGGCCCGUUUCAACAACAUGUCGAUGUUUCCGUUCAGCUAAACCAUUAUGUUCCGGUGUGUGUGGCGGAGAUGUUAAGUGAGAGAUGCCAUGAGUAGCUAGGAAACAGCGAAGAGCAAUGAACUCACCACCAUUAUCUGAAAAUAAUGUUCCAAUCCUUUGUUGAAAACGGUUCUCUACCAAUGAUUUAAACGCAACAAACACCUCCUUGACAUCAGAUUUUUGCUUUAGCGGAUAAAGCCAAGUAUAACGUGUAAAAUGGUCAACAAGCAGAAGAUAAUAUUUGUAAUUAUCAAUAGAGAGAACCGGAGACAUCCAGACAUCGGAAUAAACAUACUCAAGAGGGCGAGUAGACUGAAUUGUGUUUUGUGUAAAGGGAAGUUUGUGACUUUUAUUAAGAGAACAAUCUGAGCAAGAUAACUGUUUGUGAGAGGAACCAGAAACAGGGAGAGUAAAAGCUGAAAGCAUAGUGUUUAAAAUAGAAGAAGACGGAUGUCCUAAACGAGAGUGCCACACCGGAAGAGAAGCACGUGAACUUGUGAAAGUAGUGAAAGCAGUGACUUGUGUUGGUGAGACUGGCCAUUCAUAGAGUUCUUGCCUAGUUCUGCCUUGAAGAAGUGGAACCCCCGUACUGAGAUCCUUCACCUGAAAGGAAGCAGGGAAGAAUUCAACGGAGACACGAUUAGCAUUACAUAGCCGAUAUACCGAAAUCAAAUUUUUUUUAACAUCGGGAACACAUAGAACUUUAUUUAAAUAAAGAUCACGUGUAGAUGAGGGAAGAAUUUUGGAACCAGUGUGAGUAAUCGGCAUUGGUGAGCCAUUUGCAGCAAUAACAUCAUCACCCCCGUUAUACGGCUCAUGGAGAGAUAAAUUUGCUAAGUCUGAGGUCAUGUGAUGAGUGGCAGCACUAUCGAUGAGCCAAGGAUUUGGAUCGUAUGAGGAGCCGAUAGCAACAUUCGCACGUGGCUGCCAAGGACGGAAAGGACUGCUUGGAGGUUGAUACGUCACUGCACGGGACUGAAACUGCGGACACCAACGUGCACUGUGACCUUGAGUGUUACAAAUCUGACACUUGCCUUUGUAACCUCGAGACCCUUGUGUAGAAACAGCAGCUUGGUUGUACGAGGAGCCACCAUACGAAUUGUGAGACUGCUUCUUAUUGUUGUUGUUGUUGGUAGCGUUAGUGUUGUUGUUGUUAUUGUUGUAGCGACCGUUGUUGCGAUGACCUUGAGUAGCCACAUUUGCUGUGACUGGAAACACAGCAGGAGAAGCUUUAGCAAGAAGUUUGGCCUCUUGAUUGAGAAGACGCUCAUGAACAUGAGUGAGUGUCGGAGUCGUAUCACGAGCUGCAAUUUGGUCAACGACUGGCUUGUAUUCUUCAGGAAGGCCAUCGAGAAUAAGUUCGACUUGAUCAUCAAGGAUCACAGGACUUCCAAGGCUAUGCAAAGUAUCAAAACGUGUUGUAAACUUCUGUAAGUACUCAUCAAUGGUGAGAGUACCUUUAGUGAUCAGUUCCAACUGAUCCUUUAGUUGACGAACAUGGCCUCUGCUCGGUUUGGCGUAAGUUUCAGCUAAGGUAUUCCAGAUCUCAGCAGCACUUGUGGUUCUUGAGAGUGUGGACUGAACAGCAGGAGAAACAGAGCCAAGAAGAGCACUGUAGAGAAGCUUGUCUUGACGACUCCAGUGAAUAAACAGCGGAUUUGGAGAAACACCGUUAUUAGUGGUGACUGUAGCAGCAGGGAUCUCAACCGAUCCAUCAAGGUGACCUACAAGUCCAUGACCAUCAACAAGAGCGUGAACCUGCAAUUUCCACACAAUAUAGUUGGUUGGAGUGAGUUUGGUGAUGUUGGACAUGUUGAUCUGAAGAAGUGUUUGAUUGUUUGUGUUGAAAGGAAUGGACUCGAUGUUGCUGUUGGAACCUUCAAGUGUGGCGGCCAUGGUAGAAGACGGCAAAGAAAUUUUUUUUUUUUUUUUUUUUUGUGUGUUUUGUUUUAGGUUUUAAGGAGCGUACUGCUCUGAUACCAUAAAGAGGAUGAAUGUUAUUAUUAUUGAUAGUGAGUUUACACAUAUAUAUACAGACACUUAAGUAACCUAGAGAUAACUAAUUACAUUAAGACCCACAUAUCUAUACAUCCUUAUAGCAUAUACUAUAAUUUAUUGUAACAAGCUGAUAAGGUGGUGUGCUAGUAGUAGAACCAGCAUGGAUGAAAGGGUAAAACUCCCACGUCCCAAGGGACAUGGGAAUGUCAACACCUCUGUUAACAACGAAUCCAUAUGGUAGCACUUCGACGUGUUACCCUUAAGACGGAUUGGAUUAGUCGAUCAAAAAUUAAUAGUAAUAAUAAUAAUAAUGGUAACAAAUUAAAUAAGCUAAAUUUUUAUUUCCAAUGUUAAUGCCCAGAAAGGGAAAGGAAAAGAACAUGACAUUCUUUUAGAUUAGAGAGAGAGAUUUAAAAUAUGUUCUUGUUGGUGGGUAGUCUCUAAUGUCUAGCUCUAGGUGGACCUCUUUCGCCUCUUGGUGAACUUCUUUGGCCUCCAGGUGGUGAAACACUUGGGUUUACAGAACCCUUGAUCUCGAAAACUAGGACAUUUUGAUCCCAAACCUUUUCUGUUAUGUAUAGUUCAACAAAACAUAUCUUUAAAUACAAAUUUUAACCUAACUAAGAGACAAAAGAAGAUGUUUCUCAUAACUAGCUAGAUACUUACUUGUAUUGAGAGAUUUGUGAUCGUAUUGUAAUCGAGCAGAGACUGUGUUUGAUGAUGCAACGAACAGGAGAAUCAUCAAUGUUAUGAACCGAAUCGCCAUGUACAUUUUUCUUGGAUCUCAAGGUGUAAAC